rnacentral:lncRNA from 1 species
GUCGUGGAUGGAUUUUCACUCACUUAAAAAAUAAUUAUGUGUAAAGCAUUUUCACUCACUUUGAAUAGAUCAGCUAGGCAGUGGUUCAGACAACUCGAGCCAGGGAACAUCAGCUCAUUUUCAGAUGGAAUCAUGGAUAUGCCACUGCCCCCAAGGUUCAGGUUGUGUAUAGUGGCCAAGGGGACUCUGCCGACCAUUUAAGAUCAUAUAGGCCGUGGAUGGAUUUUCACUCACUUAAAAAAUAAUUAUGUGUAAAGCAUUUUCACUCACUUUGAAUAGAUCAGCUAGGCAAUGGUUCAGACAACUUGAGGCAGGGAACAUCAGCUCAUUUUCAUAGCUCUCAAAUAAUUUGUGGCACAAUUCAUCAGAGUAAAGCGACAAAAAAAGCCAUCAACCCACUUGCUGUUAGUCACUCAGUGUGCCGAUGAAAGUAUCGUGGAUUAUGCUGUGCGUUUCAAUGCAGAGGCAAUACAAGUAGAAGGGUACAGUGAUAGAGUGGCAUUAACAACGAUUAUGGCAGGUCUUAAGCUAGGAAAAUUCCUUUGGUCACUUUAAAAAAACCCACCUGGUACCUACACCGAUCUACUCGUAAGGAAGAGAGAUAUUCAAGUGCGGAAGAACUCUAUUCUAUGAGGCACGGAUUUCAAUCGCCGCCAUCUGAAAGAUCACUAGACUUUAAAAGAGCACAGAGGAAGCAAAAUUUCACAGUUGACAAGCAGCGUGAACGUCACACCUUGCGAGACAGAACUUAACCAACAUUUCGUUCACAGUUCAACCACUUCACCCCACUGAACACCACCAGAGAGCAUAUCUUAAUGAAUAUAAAGAACAAACCAUUUCUCAAAUGGCCAAGCCCGAUCAUCACCCCACCUGAAAAAAGAGAUAGAUCGAGGUAUUGUUACUUCCACAAAGAUUAUGGGCACGACACCUUGGAAUGCUGGGCAUUUAAAGAGCAGAUUAAGGAAUUGAUUAGGCAAGGGAGAUUGAAAGAGUUCAUAGAAGACGAUAACAUAAAAAAGAAGCCUAGAAACACGAAGACAACAAAGAAAAAAGGGAAAGUUCCAAUCCAGAUCAAAACCAUAUUUGGAUGGUUGUCGACGAAGGGUAUAUCAAAAAAGGAAAUCAAACACCAAGCUAGAGAAGUGAUGUAUAGUUAUUACCCUCAGCAGAGCAUUUAGGUCGCGCCAUAUGAGAUUACCUUCGCCGAAGCAAAAGCAGUAGGGGUAAAAUUACCCCAAAAUGAUGCACUAGUGAUUACCAUGAUGGUGGCAAAUUACCAAGUACACUAAAUUCUGGUGGACAAUGGGAACUCCGCUCACAUACUUUACAUAGACAUUUGGGAGGACGAACAUUGGCAAGGACAAACUGAGACCGAUCAAAACACCCUUAAUGGGUUUUGGGGGAGAAAAUUAUUGUGCAAAUUUUAUUGAACUCAUAAGUGCACGAAUUUAUUGUAGAAUAGAUUAAUAUUGAUAAGUGUCG